rnacentral:rRNA from 1 species
ACACGGCCCUUACUCCUACGGGAGGCAGCAGUGGGGAAUAUUGGACAAUGGACCAAAGCCUGAUCCAGCAAUUCUGUGUGCACGAUGAAGUUUUUCGGAAUGUAAAGUGCUUUCAGUUGGGAAGAAGAAAGUGACGGUACCAACAGAAGAAGCGACGGCUAAAUACGUGCCAGCAGCCGCGGUAAUACGUAUGUCGCAAGCGUUAUCCGGAUUUAUUGGGCGUAAAGCGCGUCUAGGCGGUUUGGUAAGUCUGAUGUGAAAAUGCGGGGCUCAACUCCGUAUUGCGUUGGAAACUGCCAAACUAGAGUACUGGAGAGGUAGGCGGAACUACAAGUGUAGAGGUGAAAUUCGUAGAUAUUUGUAGGAAUGCCGAUGGGGAAGCCAGCCUACUGGACAGAUACUGACGCUAAAGCGCGAAAGCGUGGGUAG